UACGUGAGGGUGCAAGCGUUGUCCGGAAUUAUUGGGCGUAAAGAGCUCGUAGGCGGUCUGUCGCGUCUGCUGUGAAAACUCAGGGCUUAACCCUGAGCUUGCAGUGGGUACGGGCAGACUAGAGUGCGGUAGGGAGACUGGAAUUCCGUGGUGAUAGCGGUGAAAUGCGCAGAUAUCAGGAGGAACACCGGUGGCGAAGGCGGGUCUCUGGGCCGUAACUGACGCUGGAG
rnacentral:rRNA from 1 species